rnacentral:rRNA from 1 species
GAUGAACGCUGGCGGCGUGCCUAAUACAUGCAAGUCGAGCGAACGGACGAGAAGCUUGCUUCUCUGAUGUUAGCGGCGGACGUGUGAGUAACACGUGGAUAACCUACCUAUAAGACUGGGAUAACUUCGGGAAACCGGAGCUAAUACCGGAUGAUAUUUUGAACCGCAUGGUUCAAAAGUGAAUGACGGUCUUGCUGUCACUUAUAGAUGGAUCCGCGCUGCAUUAGCUAGUUGGUAAGGUAACGGCGUACCAAGGCAACGAUGCAUAGCCGACCUGAGCGGGUGAUCGGCGACACUGGAACUGAGACACGGUCCAGACACCUACGGGAGGCAGCAGUAGGGAAUCUUCCGCGAUGGGCGAAAGCCUGACGGAGCAACGCCGCGCGAGUGAUGAAGGUCUUCGGAUCGUAAAACUCUGUUAUUAGGGAAGAACAUAUGUGUAAGUAACUGUGCACAUCGUGACGGUACCUAAUCAGAAAGCCACGGCUAACUACGUG